UUUUUUUACAGAUUGUCGCAGAACUCAGCAAUAAGAGAAAACUUAACUGUGGACACCCUUGGGGGAUUAUGACAAAGGCAGAGCUGGUGCAUUGUGUCCAAUUAAAGUUCCAACAGCGUAGUUAAAGAAAUAAACUACACACAUCUGGAUGACAUUACCAACUGGACUCAACCACAAAAAUAUAUGAUAUUAUGUUAUGAUGUUUUGUAAGAUGUGAGAAGAUUAAGAUUAUGGGCAUUAAUAAUCUAUUUACGCUUCUGAGAAAUUAUGUCACUCUAUAAUUCAUGCAUUCUUUUAUCUAUCCACCUGUAAAGUGUGAUAUCUCAGGUGACAUAGACACCCACCACAGGUCUAAUUUUGAAGAAUAAAAACAAAGGAUGGAUGAUGCAUCUUCACUCUGUGUUGCAGCCUGAGGGGAAAUGUUAUAAUUUAAAAUAAAACAUGUUUCACUCUAA